rnacentral:misc_RNA from 2 species
AACGCACAUUGCGCCCGCCAGUAUUCUGGCGGGCAUGCCUGUUCGAGCGUCAUUUCAACCCUCAAGCCCCAGCGGUUUGGUGUUGGGGACCGGCGAGUACAGAGGCUUUGGGGACUUGUCCCCCUUCCCUCGGCGCCGCCCCCGAAAUGAAUUGGCGGUCUCGUCGCGGCCUCCUCUGCGUAGUAGCACAACCUCGCAUCAGGAGCGCGGCGCGGCCACUGCCGUAAAACGCCCAACUUUUUUUUAAGAGUUGACCUCGAAUCAGGUAGGAAUACCCGCUGAACUUAA